rnacentral:tRNA from 1 species
GCCGAUAUAGUCUAGUAGGUAGUACGCUGGAUUUUCAAUCCAGAAGCCUGGGUUCGAUUCCCGGUAUCGGUU